AUUGAACGCUGGCGGCAGGCCUAACACAUGCAAGUCGAACGCAGUGGGGACGGGUGAGUAACACGUGGGUAACCUCCCAUCAGAGGGGAUAACACUUGGAAACAGGUGCUAAACCGAUAUUGGUGGAUGGACCCGCGGUGCAUUAGCUAGUUGGUGAGGUAACGGCUCACCAAGGCCACGAUGCAUAGCCGUCCUGAGAGGAGGAUCGGCCACACUGGGACGGAGAGACGGCCCAGACUCCUACGGGAGGCAGCAGUAGGGAAUCGUCGGCAAUGGACGAAAGUCUGACGGAGCAACGCCGCGUGAAUGAAGAAGGUUUUCGGAUCGUAAAACUCUGGUGUUAGAGAAGCGGUAUCUAACCAGAAAGCCACGGCUAACUCCGUGCCAGCAGCCGCGGUAAUAC
rnacentral:rRNA from 1 species